AGAGUUUGAUCCUGGCUCAGAACGAACGCUGGCGGCGCGCCUAACACAUGCAAGUCGAACGAGAAAGUUUCUUCGGAAAUGAGUAAAGUGGCAAACGGGUGAGUAAUGCGCAAGAAUCUGCCUCUGGGUGGAGGAUACCUCUGGGAAACUAGGGUUAAUCCUGCAUAAGUUUGAAAAAAGAAAGGUGGCAUUUGCUAUCGCCGAGAGAUGAGCUUGCGUCCUAUUAGCUAGUUGGUGGGGUAAUGGCCUACCAAGGCUGUGAUGGGUAUCCGGCCUGAGAGGGCGAUCGGACACACUGGGACUGAGAUACGGCCCAGACUCCUACGGGAGGCAGCAGUGGGGAAUAUUGUGCAAUGGGCGAAAGCCUGACACAGCGACGCCGCGUGGAGGAUGAAGGUCUUUGGAUUGUAAACUUCUGUUAUGCGGGAAGAAAGAGGCGUAGCUAAUACCUGCGCAAGAUGACGGUACCGCAAGAGAAAGCCCCGGCUAACUUCGUGCCAGCAGCCGCGGUAAUACGAAGGGGGCGAGCGUUGUUCGGAUUUACUGGGCGUAAAGGGUGUGUAGGCGGCAUACUAAGUCAGUUGUUUAAUUUUGCAGCCCAACUGCAAGUCUGCAAUUGAUACUGGUUGUGCUGGAGGUUGGAAGAGAGAAGUGGAAUUCUCGGAGUAGCGGUUAAAUGCGUAGAUCUCGAGAGGAACACCGGUGGCGAAGGCGGCUUCUUGGUCCAAAUCUGACGCUGAAACACGAAAGCGUGGGGAGCAAACAGGAUUAGAUACCCUGGUAGUCC
rnacentral:rRNA from 1 species